rnacentral:rRNA from 1 species
UACGGAGGGUGCAAGCGUUAUCCGGAUUCACUGGGUUUAAAGGGUGCGUAGGAGGGCAGGUAAGUCAGUGGUGAAAUCCCCGGAGCUUAACUUGGGAACUGCCGUUGAUACUAUCUGUCUUGAAUGUUGUGGAGGUGAGCGGAAUAUGUCAUGUAGCGGUGAAAUGCUUAGAUAUGACAUAGAACACCAAUUGCGAAGGCAGCUCGCUACACAAUUAUUGACUCUGAUGCACGAAAGCGUGGGGAUCAAACAGG